GGAGAGAUGGCCGAGAGGCUGAAGGCACCGGUUUGCUAAACCGGCAUACGUGGAAACGCGUAUCGAGGGUUCGAAUCCCUCUCUCUCCG
rnacentral:tRNA from 4 species